AGUGAACGCUGGCGGUAGGCCUAACACAUGCAAGUCGAACGGCAGCACAGUAAGAGCUUGCUCUUACGGGUGGCGAGUGGCGGACGGGUGAGGAAUACAUCGGAAUCUACUUUUUCGUAGGGGAUAACGUAGGGAAACUUACGCCAAUACCGCAUACGAACUACGGGUGAAAGCAGGGGAUCUUCGGACCUUGCGCGAUCGAAUGAGCCGAUGUCGGAUUAGCUAGUUGGCGGGGUAAAGGCCCACCAAGGCGACGAUCCGUAGCUGGUCUGAGAGGAUGAUCAGCCACACUGGAACUGAGACACGGUCCAGACUCCUACGGGAGGCAGCAGUGGGGAAUAUUGGACAAUGGGCGCAAGCCUGAUCCAGCCAUACCGCGUGGGUGAAGAAGGCCUUCGGGUUGUAAAGCCCUUUUGUUGGGAAAGAAAAGCAGCAGGUUAAUACCCCGCUGUUCUGACGGUACCCAAAGAAUAAGCACCGGCUAACUUCGUG
rnacentral:rRNA from 1 species